CAGGCAUGUGGCACCUCAUUUGGGUGUGUCUGGAGUCUUGGAAGCUUGGCUACCCAACAUUCCUCUACCAAUGGACCUUGAGAGCUUGUUUGGAGGUUCUAGAAGGGGAGCACAGCUACUCGUAUACUCUUGACUGAAGAAUGUCCUCCUCUUCCGCCCAGUGAACAGCUUCAGGAGGGACACACAUGGAGCAGUGAGGGAGGAAGGGGACACCUGCUCAGCCAGCCGGAGCAGCCAAGUCAGCGCUGGUGAUCAAUGGGGUGACAGCUGCGGCAGCCAGAUCGCCCUCGCAUCCGUAGCGUAGUAUCCUCUUGCCUACCCAGAGCACAGUGUGUGGCCAAGGCCCAGAGAUCCCACGGUGGAAGCCUCGAGAUAACACCGCCGUGCACGCUGCAUUUGGCUGUGCGGAGAAGCUGACUCGUUGCAAGAUACCCGGCCUCCUCAUUUUCUUCAUGAAUGGGAAAUUGUUCUGGCUCUUCAAUUUGCGUUCCGAGUUUGGGGUCCACGCCGAGCGAAUUGUUUCCAGGCCGGCCCCGAGCCAUCUUUGUGUCUCACAGGGGGGUCAGCCUGGUCCAGGACGUGCAAGCUUGCUUUUUAUUUUCAUUGUCCCGGCCGUGGCGGGCUUCCCCCACCCCUACCUCCAUCCACCUCCAACUCAGGGAAAACGCAGAGACGGCAGGCGAAUCCGGCAGGCUCUUCCCCAGCCUGUAGAGGACCGUCUGCUCCCACUCACACGCGUGCUGAGACAGGCCUCUGCUCAGAGCCCCAUCCUGGCAGAAACUGGGACCCCACUGCCCUCUCCUGCUGCCUUCCAGUGCUUAGCCUGGUAGUGAUUCCGGAGAUGGGAAAGCACCGUUUGGGCCCACCAGGAUCACAUCACGUAUGCAGUAGGCUGCCUCCAGGCAUGAAGAGAAUUUCCAGUGGAGGAGGAUCGGGGUUUAAGAAAUGUAAGGUGUUCAAGGAAAAACGGGAUUGGGGCAAGGAGGCUGAGAAUGAGCCUGUUCGAAUAUUUGUGUUUUCGCUAAGGUACGGCGGAAAGAAGACACUAACAGACACUAUCAGUAACAUUUUACACAGUUCAAAUUAAUAAUAAUCGGCACUGUACCGGGAGAUUCCAAAUUCCAUUUCCAAUUUCCUUGUUCACUAGAAACUUCCCAUGAUUUCCCUUCCCUCUCCCGCAGUUUCCAUGAUAUGCUUGUAAAUUUGCUUUGCUUUGUCGCCGAUAAUGCACACCUAAGAGGGGUUUUACUUUCUGUAUCUCUCCUCCUUCCAAAUGUCCAAUGCUUUGUCCAUUCUAUGACAUCCCAGUGGCAGCUGCCACUCCUCCUUGGGGUCUCAGCCCCUCCAGAAUGGGGAUUCCCCUUCCUCCGCCCCAAGCCCCCAAUGAAUCCGGAUGGUUGAGACUGCAAAGGCUGGGGGUGCCCUGUGUUCAGGUAUUUCUCAAUCCCGUGUGGCUCAUAAAUACUUAGGACUGUGGGAUGUGGGCUCUGUCCCUGGGUACACGUCUUGCCAAAGCACGUGGCAUCAGCUCCUCUGACCCGGGCGCCUCCUGCCCCCAAGCCAAGGGACUCCUGUUCUACGGCUCUGUUUGCUCCUCUUAUCUUCCUUCAUCUUCUCCAAGGCAGCACUGAAAUCCUUCUAUUUUUUUCUUCUGACCCAUCUGCUUCACAUGCCCUUUAUAUUCCUAAUCCCCAAUUCCCUCAUCGUCUAGGAGGCAGGAGAGUAGUUAUUAAGAAUCAGAAUCAGGGGUGCCUGGGUGGCUCAGUCGGUUAAGUGGCCGACUUUAGCUCAGGUCACGAUCUCGCCGUCCGUGAGUUCAAGCCCCGCAUUGGGCUCUGUGGAGCCUGCUUCCGUUUCUGUGUCUCCCUCUUUCUCUGCCCCUCCCCCAUUCGCACUCUGUCUCUCUCUGCCUUUCAAAAAAAAGAAUAAAUGCUAAAAAAGAAUUAAAGUCA
ensembl:lncRNA